ensembl:lncRNA
UGCUACUUACUGACUCCCAGUGUCUGAGUCGGUGCUAUGUCUUCUCACCCCCUCCCCCAAGGGGUGUUCAAGCAGGGUCACCCACAACAUCUGGCACCUAGAUAUGGGGCUGGUGGAUCCCGUGCUGGCAUGGGCCUUGACCCUGCUUGAAUCAGGGUUAUUCUUUUUUUCAUCACGUUGGCUGGUUUUUGGACCCUGAUCUUUGCCUUUUGUUGCUGGUGGUGCAUUGGAGGAUGGACCCUGCCUACAUCAGUGCACUUUGACUUUCUCUGUCAGCACCCUUUCAGACUCCUCUUCACACUUGUGGUGCAUUUCUGCACCCCCAAUUCGGUGACUUGUUUGGUGAGUUGGCCCCUGCGUGUUUCAUGUCCUUGGUCCUGGAGAAGAGAGUGCGUAGAUUUGACACUGUCUCCAAGGCUGCUGUGUCUGGUUGCAAUCACCAGAAAGCAUUGGCUUUCCUUGGUCACCGACCAAGCAUCUCACUGUUCAUUUCGGCUUGGCUCUAGAAGGAAGAAUUUGGUCCAACUGUUAGAACUGGCAACUUUGCCUUCCUGUGCAGAAAGUCCACUCUAAGUGAACCGUGUUCUGAGCAUCAGCUGAGACACCCCUUCUUUGCCUGCAUAGACUCAGAAGUACCUCUGUGAAGGCCCGCCCCACACGGUCAGAAGUGGCCUUUCUCCCCAGAAGCCAGCUAGAAUCACAGGCUACGGCCCUGUUUACACCGGAAAGCUGAGACAUCCCUCCCCUUUGCCAACCUCUGUUGAAUCUAUUUUCUCAUCUCCAUCCACUUGGAAGUUGGUUGACUGUCGCCAAGGAGAAAGUUGAAGAAAUAAGAUGGAGAGACAAUGACUAGCCCAGAAAUGGCAGAUUGGCUUCAUCAUGUAUGCAAACUCUGAAUGCUUUGCCAUGGCUGCCUGGAGCAUGGGGUUGAAAAAGAACCAGCUCUGGCAAGAGGUGGUUGAUUAACGGCGUGUGCCAUUCCAGACAAGAAGUAACAGCGGGAGUGCCUCAUCUCCGCUGUCUCCAGACCAUUCCAUUGAAACAUUUAGAUUCCGGUUCCUCCAGUCAUUCUCAGCCUUCCUGGGAGUGAGCUCUGACUCUCCUCUAACUCUACUCUCUCACCAUUCAUCUCUUCAGCACUUGUACUCAUUGCCUUUGUGUCUCAGCAUUCUCUAAAACCCUGCCUCCCUUCCCACGCCCUGGCUGUGUGUAUGGCUGCUUCUUCCAGUAUGAACUUGUUUAUAACAUCAGCCUCAUUCAUCUUCAUUUUCCCAGGGUGUCUCUGUGCUGUGGUGUGUGGUUCAAUAUUUCUGAAAAAGUCAGAUGGAUCCCAAGACUUCUGCCAGACUCUGAACUUGGAGGCGGGCAGGGGAAUCCAUCCUUGGUCCCUGUCUACUCUAGAGUCUAGCGAGGAUCUGUGCAGUUGGAUACUUGAUCAUUCUUGGUUGUGAGCCUAGCCUUUUACAUCUGAGCCAUCUCUCCAGCCCUUUGACACUCAAGAAAAUGUUUAUUAAAUAAGUGAAUGGAUGACUGGACAGUGUUCUUUGUUUUUUUUUUUUUUUUUUUUUGAAUGUUUCCCAUCUUGGAGUCUUUGGGGUCAUUUAUUUCCGAGUUCUCCAAGGAACUAUUGUGUAGACAAUGCCUUCUUAAAAAGUUGUGGAGACAGGAUUUUUGUGGUUGAGCAAUCUGAGGCUUCUAGCACAAACACUUGGCUCACAAACAGUAAAGAUAGCAGUAAUCACAGCAUGUACUGGGCUAACAAUCUUUUUUUUUUUUUGGCAGAUUUUUUUUUAUUUGAAUUAGAAACAAGAUUGUUUUACAUGUCAAUCCCAGUUCCCUCUCCUUCCCCUCUUCCCCUACCCCCCACAACUAAAACCCUACCUAUCACAUAUCCUUUCUGCUCCCCCUGGAGGGUGAGGCCUUCCUUAGGGUGUCAUCAG